rnacentral:rRNA from 1 species
AACGAACGCUGGCGGCAGGCCUAACACAUGCAAGUCGAGCGAGACCUUCGGGUCUAGCGGCGGACGGGUUAGUAACGCGUGGGAACGUGCCCUUCUCUGCGGAAUAGCCACUGGAAACGGUGAGUAAUACCGCAUACGCCCUUCGGGGGAAAGAUUUAUCGGAGAAGGAUCGGCCCGCGUUAGAUUAGAUAGUUGGUGGGUAACGGCCUACCAAGUCUACGAUCUAUAGCUGGUUUUAGAGGAUGAUCAGCAACACUGGGACUGAGACACGGCCCAGACUCCUACGGGAGGCAGCAGUGGGAAGUCUUAGACAAUGGGCGCAAGCCUGAUCUAGCCAUGCCGCGUGUGUGAUGAAGGUCUUAGGAUCGUAAAGCACUUUCGCCAGGGAUGAUAAUGACAGUACCUGGUAAAGAAACCCCGGCUAACUCCGUG